ACACAUCAACACUUUAUACUAAAUGGUGAGCGAUUAAACUCUUCAUAAAGUGAUUUACAGUUGAAGUAAAUGAACUUUGUAUUACUAUUUUUAUUAAUAAUUGAAAUUUUAUUAAUCAAUUUAAUCAUUGAGUCAUGUAUUAAUUUUGUGAGUAUUAAUUAUAGUAAAAAUAUAUCGAUGUAUAAUCUUUGAAUGAAUAAUUUCAGAGAACACUGAAAUUUUACUUUCAGGUUCCCAUUAUCCGCUAUGAAGCUGCUUGAUGAGGAUUUUCUUGUCCACGGUCCCUCCCAUCUUUCUUUCUUUUCUGUCCUGGAAGAAACUAUGCCAAACUGAUAUUGUUAUUUUUACUGGAUCCUACACACUAAUCCAGAUGAUCAUUUGGGCAUCCUAUUUACUAGAUAUAUCUGCUCUUGGCUUCUUUUAGGUAUGCUCCAAAACAUGCAACUUCUUAACUGAUCAAAGAAAACAUAUAUAACUUAUUAAGAUGUCGUAUUCUAUGUUGUUGUUGUCCAAACUAAGGCUGCAAGAGCGGAUACUAGAAUCUAUUUUAUAUAAAUGUAAUGUACAUUAAUUUAUCUUUUAUCUUUCCCUGUAUUUUUCUAAUUUUUAUUUAACCGGCAAAAGACGCUAGCUUUUGACAUGCUUUGAACUUGACAUUUUAUUUUCAUUUCUUAACUUUUACAAAUUCCGACUUACAUGGCAAUAUACUACAUAACACGUUACUUUUUUCUUCUCUACUUUACCAAAUUCUAUAUUGGUGGUUUGCUGCAAGUUCUCCACUCUGGCUACAUUAUGUGACAAGAAUUGAGUUGGGCUAAUGCGAAGAAAGAAUUUCUACAGGUGCCAAUAGUAUUGUCAUAGCCUGCAAAAAUGGAGACUAAUUGCAGCAUUAUAGUUGUAUUACAAUCUGCGAAUAUGCAAAUAGAACAUACCUAAACAGAUUAGUGUAAGGGAUGUAAAGAAUGUGCCAUUUUGCACGUUGUUUUGCAACCACUGUGGUGGAUAUUUUAUUAACCUUUGUACAACGGAAGCAUUGUCCCUAAAUGCGUGUAAAUAAUAUGAAACAGUUAGUAACCUAAAAUGAAGUUGCAGCCAAGAAUUAUGAAAACGAAAGAAUGUGAAGCGAUUUCAUGUAAUCAUCUAUAGCUUGUAAUAUAAAGUUAUAGGGUUGAAUUAGAGCCAGAUUAUUACUCACACUAUGGCACCUCUUCUCUCCAAUCAAUCAUACUCUUUACAUAUCAAUGUCCAUUGAAUGAUCAGUACAACUUGAUUUCUACUUUUGAUUGCAACUCUAAAUACUUUCUGAUUUUGUUUGAUUGGUAAGUCUCUGUGACAUUUGUUAGUAUUCUUCCAUUAUGUGAUUUCAUUAUUUUCUAUCUUUAUAGUUCUCAAAAAUUUAUUUUCUAUCUUUAUAUUCUCUUUAUUCUCAACCAUUUUUCAAUCAAAUAUAGAUUCAGUUUUUUCCAUCUGCGUUUUUUUAUUUGUUGGACUCUUCCACUAAGACAGUUUCCAGGGAAAAGGCAAAAGGUCUAUAUUUUAGAUAUAAUAUUCGGGUUUUUUUUUUGUGUGGGAAAGUUUAGGAAUUUUUGGAGAUCAUAGCUAUCCAGCAGGUGAUUUUUGUGUUAAUUUUAAUUGGUAUGAUAUAUUUAUGUUGUCCUUGAUUCAAUGUAUAAUAAUGUGAGUACCAAGAACUUAGUAUGGGUCUGUGUUUAAAAAUAUGGUAACUGCAUUAUAUAGAGUGCAGUAAUCAAAUAGCUCUUAUAGGUAAUCCAUUUCUGCUUUGAUUGUUAUAAUAAGAGAUUGUGUGUGUGUUCCUAGCAUUCUACUUUGGAUUGUGUGUGGAUAUGAAUCUUAGGCUACAGUAUGGUCUGUAAUUUAUUUGCUACUUUUAAGAAGUUUAGUGGAGAAAAUAGAGGAUAAAGAAAAGUUACAGGUAUCAUUGAUGAUGGAAAUAAUGCCUAAUUAGCAACAUUGGAAUACUUGUACUUCUUGAAAGCAUAUAGGUGGGCAAAUGAUACUUACAUCUGCAAUGAGAUGUGACAAAAAAUUGAAAUGAAAUUUAUUAGCUUCAAGAAAUAAAAUUUUAUGCAACAGAUGAAGAUGGACCACAUAAUACUUGAAGAAUGGCUGAAUAUAUAAAUUAAACAAGCAUAUAAAUGCUUAAAGUUUUCAAGCAUGCUUAGCCAAGGAAAAUUUAUUAUUUAAGAAAUAUUAACAAUUUCUAUGCUCUUUUUAAAUGUUUUGCAGGGAAAUCGACAGAGGGCGACGCUAACUGAUGCCAAUUCUGGAGCAUGUCUUGAGUGCUAGAAUAGAGUCGUUGAUGCAUAUGGUUUUGUGUUAUAUAUGCAAGUUAAAUUGGACUUAACAGGGUGUAAUACUUUGGGUGCUUCUCCUCUCUUUACCAAUGCACCUUUCCUUAAGGAAAUCUCAUGUUUUUUACAUUUCUAUGUUACUUUUAUGCGUUCUUGUAUUACUUUAUCAUAUCUGAAUUUACAUGGAUUUUUCACUUUUUUAUUAAGUAAAAAUAAAAUGUAUCAAUAAUACAUGAAUUUACAUGGAUUGUUCUACGUAAAUUGGAUUAUUAAUAAAUUUAGGAGAUCUCUGAU
rnacentral:lncRNA from 1 species